UCAUUUAAGUAAAAAGAAGUAAAAUCCUUCAGAAUUGAAUUAACUUUCUUUCCUGUGUUGCAGAAAGCCUGACUGUAUUUGGAAACCCCAGUAAAGAUCCUGGCAAUGUCUCCCACAUUUUUCCAAGUUCAGAUGCAAGCCUGCAGAGUCAGGUGUUGUAAUUUUGAAUUCCUUUCAGGGACUUGCCAUUCUGGUUAAAUACCAGGUGCAGCCCCGUUGUAUGUUACGCAGGGGUGUAAGAAUCCAGGACGGAGCUCUCUGUUCCUCACCAGCUGUCAGAGGGACGUGCCCUGUGUCAGUGACUGCCAGUAACAGCGAGUGAAUGCAUAAAUGUAGCCUUUCCUGUACGGAGAGCUAUUGGUUGGAAAGUGAUUGAUUCCUCUGUCCUGGUCUCUUGAGCAUUCAUUUGCAGCUGCUCUUUUCUGUUUCCUCGGUAUUUCCAGUCUGUAACUGUGGCUUUUCUACACAGACAAACCAUGGGGAUGGCUGGGGCCGAGCAGGUGAAGUUCCUGUAAAGUCUAAAGGGAAAGUGAAAGGGUUUCAUGAAGCUGAGAGCUACGUACCACAUGGUGCCUUGGGAACUCGGAGCUGAGUUGGCUGCUGCCAUGUCCUCUCACGGCUUAUGGUCAAGAUGGUGUACGGGUGUGCUUCUGUUAGGGAAUAACUAACCCCCUCCACUGGUUAUAGAAAGCAUAGAGUAGGCUGAUUAUAGAGCCUGGAGUAGAUAUCCAACUUUUAUGUAGCUGGAGUUGUGAGAUGAGUAACCAUAAACAUUACUAUUAUGGUAACAAA